UACGUAGGGUGCGAGCGUUGUCCGGAAUUAUUGGGCGUAAAGAGCUCGUAGGCGGUGUGUCACGUCGGCCGUGAAAACCUGGGGCUUAACUCUGGGCGUGCGGUCGAUACGGGCAUCACUAGAGUUCGGUAGGGGAGACUGGAAUUCCUGGUGUAGCGGUGAAAUGCGCAGAUAUCAGGAGGAACACCGGUGGUGAAGGCGGGUCUCUGGGCCGAUACUGACGCUGAGGAGCGAAAGCGUGGGGAGCGAACAGG
rnacentral:rRNA from 1 species